GUUUCACAAAACUGCGAAUAACUCAACCAAUUUUAAUCCAAAUCCACUUUUGUAAACUGGAGAAUAACGAUAAAAGACUUGGGAAUAAACCUACCAAAUUUCGUUACCUUUUACCAUGAUUUGAUAUGUCGAAACCGUUUUCUCCCAAACCCUAACGAUUCUGGUUCUUCUCCUUCUCUCUCUUUUUCUCCUUUAUAAAACGAAAAGUGGCUAACUAAAGCCCUAAUUUCGAGUUUCGUUCUUUUAUAGGCACACUCUAGGGUUUCCAAUUAACCCAACCAAUUAAACCGGAUGAUUUAAAUACAAACCCUAACCGAUUUUCCGGUUCACGGGCGUUACAUCUGAGCCUUCUCCUACCUCAGCAUCUGUCAAUGCAGCCACACUACCCAGUGGAAAGCAACUAAACCCAAUCCUUCAUCGCAAACGUUCAGCUCAGACUUCAUCUCGUCCAGUUGCAGAAAAAACCUUAGUCUCGAUCGAUACAUCAUG
rnacentral:sRNA from 1 species